UACGGAGGGGGCAAACGUUGUUCGGAAUUACUGGGCGUAAAGGGUGAGUAGGCGGUUCGAUUAGUCUAGCGUGAAAUCUCUCGGCUUACCCGGGAAACUGCGCUGGAAACUGUCGAGCUCGAGGGUGGAAGAGGCAGAUGGAAUUCCUGGUGUAGCGGUGGAAUGCGUAGAUAUCAGGAAGAACACUCGUGGCGAAGGCGGUUUGCUGGUCCAUUUCUAACGCUGAAUCACGAAAGCCAGGGGAGCAAACGGG
rnacentral:rRNA from 1 species